GGGGGGAGCUGUAGUUUGUACAUGACAGCCAUGAAAAGAUCUUAACGUCGUAGAGCAAGGAACAAUAUUUAGACAUGGAUGAUGGGGCUGAAGAGGGGAUGAGGAGUCUUGAGGUGGUGAAAUCUUCACACCUCCAUUAGAGCGUGGUAAGGCGAGAAUGCAGGCAGCGGUGUAAGGGGGCCCCAGAUUAACCGUGCGUCCAGGCCAUCACAGCUGCCUCAGGGCUGGCAUUUUUCAGUGCUUUCUUACAGAUUGAUUCUUGGGCAAGUCUUGAAGACGGCAGUAAGCUCUGCCUGCUGCAAGUAACGCUCUUUCGAGCAACUCUUUGGUUUUGAUCUGGCUAUUAUGCAGAUGUUGAAGUGCACAGCAGUGAACCAUGAGCCCACUGAAGAUAAGACUCCACAUUUGAUAUUAUUCAGUAUCUCUGCUUAGAUAGGACAACUAAAAAUUGCAUUGGAAUUUCCUUACACAAGAAAAUAAAUCACCAAGAUUUAAAGCCGAAAGUGAAUAUUCAGUUUAGAUGCUGUGUAGCCAUGUGUCUACAUUACUGUAUUUUAGAAUUACAGCAUAUGUAUUUUGUUAAGACAGAUCAGAAAAUUCAGGCC